CUAGGUAGAUUGUAGACGUACACAUGGUACAUCUAUCCUUGCAGGUGCGUUUACAGCAGGUAUAUGUGAUAUUGUCACCUUUGCUAGAUCAUUAAAAGCAUCCGGCAUGCUUUGAGCAAUGCUCUGAAGAUCUAUAAUUCGCACCUCAGUUUUAGACUGAGCAGUGCAGGGAUUUAAAUGAGACAUAAUGGGAACAUACCAUGACAAUUCAUGGUGUUACAAGAACGUUAGCAUGCUUAUCUCCUCCUAAUGACGGGAAGACUGUCUUAUCAAAGUGACAAUCCGUAAAACGUGCGGUAAAGAGAUUUCCUAUCAAGGGUUCUAAGCAUUGAACAAUUGAUGGCGAAUCAUAAUCGACAUAGAUUCCCAUUUUUCUUUGAGGACCCAUUUUGGUACAUAGUGGCGACCCUAUUGGCACAUAAAUGGCGCACCCAAACACCCGUAAAUGCGAGACGUUAGGCUCUAU
rnacentral:lncRNA from 1 species